AGGCUCAGGCAUGGCGGGCUGCAGGUCCCGAGUGCUGCCCGGCGGGGAGGCAGCUAAGGCCCGGCGAGAAAUUGAGCGCAGCGCCAGUGGGCCAGUACUGCUAGGGAGACCCGGCCUACCCUCCGUAGCUGCUGGCCUCGGUGCUAAGCCUCUCACUGCCCGGGGCCGCCAGCGCCGGCCGGCCGCUCGGAGUGUGGGGCCCGCCAAGCCCACGCCCACCCGGAACUCUCGCUGGUCCGCAGGCGCCGCGCGCAGCCGUGGUUCCCGCCCAUGCCUCUCCCUCCACACCUCCUCGCAAGCUGAGGGAGCGGGUUGCGGCCUUGGCCAGUCCAGAAAGGGGCUCCCACAGUGCAGCGGGGGGCUGAAGGGCUCCUCAGGUGCAGCUGGAGUGGGCACCAGGGCCGAGGAGGUGCUGAGAGCGAGUGAGGGCUGCGGGGGCAGCCAGCAUUCUGUCACCUCUCAUCAUGAGAUCGGAUGGAUUUAUCAGGUGUUUCCAGUUUUGCUUCUUCCUCAUUUUCUGUCUUGUCACCACCAGAUAAGAAGUGACUUUCGCCCUCUGCCAUGAUUGUGAGACCUCCUCAGCCACGUGGAACUUCUUUGAGUAUGCUCAGCGCGUGCCAUCAUGGGGCCAUGUUCUUCCCCUUUGCUCUUGGAGAAUAGACAAAGCUACCCAGCCCAGCCACAGCCUCAUAAUCUUGUUCUACCUCCCUCUCCAGCCUCAAAUAUUUCCAGGCUCCAGCUCAAGUCAUACAUCAGGUGUCCACUCUGGCCACCAAAGGCAUAACACGAACAGAGAGCCAUGGGGCUCUCUGCCUGCACUGGGCCGGCUGAAGAAAGAGCAGAUGGAAACCAAUAGGGUCCACAUCUCCCCAGGGACUUGCUGAAACUGUUGGCUGCUGCUCACCCUCAGCAGGACCCCUACAGACCCUGACCUGUACCCGGUGAUUGAACUACCAGUUUCUGAAGGCCACCCAUUCACACCUAUUUCCCACUACUCCAGGUAAGACACUCACAGCAGGCAGUCUCCCGGGAAACAGAAGUCUAUAUUUGUUACCAUCAGCGUCUGGCUCAUGAUCCUAAUGAGGACCAAGAUUCCUGUGGGAUCAAGUUCCCCUCUGAGGAUUCUUGAGAGCCGCCUUCCUGAAUCCUCACAAACACCUUCCUACCUACUGCCUUCCAUUAACAAUUACCUUUCCAUCUUUAUUUUUUUGCCUACGACAAGCACCCUUAACAUACUCAUACCUGUUUCACCUUUCUUCCGUAAUAACCUAGAUUUUAUUUUCAUGUUGAGGAAAAACACUAUUUUCCACUAGGCUAUCUGCAGCUGGAGGAGGCCAUGAGUCACCGUUUUGAGCCUAGAGAUAUAAACAGAAGUUGCUAGGAAGAGCUUCUAGGAAGCCUCUGUAAGAUGAUUAUCUCAGUUGGGUCUGUCUUUUUGCUUUGUCCAUCCCUUUUUUAACUUUGGAGUGUGCGUGUGAUACAGGAGGUGAAGCAGUCAUUUUGUGACUAUGAGGAGAUAAAGCCACAUGGGUAAGUUGGCAGAGCAGGACACUGGGAGAAGCAUGUGCUUCUGUUGGCAAUGAGGGAUCAUCACACUAUUCCUAAACAGUCUAAGUCCUGAGGUCUCGUGUGUGUUCUUACUUGUUCAUUACUCUACUUUUUCAGGUUGUAUAUUACUUACAGUUCAAUACAAUCUAAACUUUAACCAGUCAUUCUUCUAGUUAGACUGUGAGCUCCUAGAGGGAAGUUUGGCAUGUGAUAUGUUUCUUAUGGUCCCUGCAGAUCUAGCACAUGCUAGUAGGGAUCAGGUAUGCAAUACUCAUCUAUUGAUUGAUUUGGGAUACAGUGAGUUGAGGUAAGAGAGAAACAGAAGUCAACUCCAACAUGUCAAAGAAUAAAGUUUGCUGUUGGUCUCAACAGCCCCAGGGCAUCUUUACUCCAGUGUGAUCUCUCUCUCCUAUCCAGUGAGGCUCCAAAAUAUGGCUUUAAUUAUCCUUCCUAAGUUUUACAAAAUUCACUGAGCUUUUGUCUUUAAAACAGUAUUCCUUCCCCAUCUCUGGUGUGAAAAAAAAAAUUACGACCAGAGUUUUACAUCUUUUUCUUUCCGAUAUUUCCAGAAAAGUAUGCCCCAGUCUAAUUUGCAGGUGAAAAUUGAAAAUGUAUCUCACUGACCUCAAGGGAUGAUAUUCAGGAGCUUCAGGGAAUCUUCAGCUAAUGGGAGAAGCACAAGCAGAUUAAUGGAUCCCAAAGACAAAAUGCCUAUCCUAGCUCAAAGGACAUCUCGUGGAUCUUGAAAAGUGGAGCUUUCUGUGCCCAUCUUCAGAAAGAGACAUCAGACAAUCUUAACAUUUCUGCAGCUGAACAUGGGCUGAGAAGAGGGCAAUCUUCCAGUGGGUCCACCACAUUUUCUUUCCAAUUGAGCCAAUUCAUGGUCUCUUCUGGCAACUGCAAGGCCAGAUGUGAAUUUACCACUUUAUUGAGUGAAGCGGUCUGGGCAUUGUGAGACUCACAUAUGCACCCAGAGGGGAAGGGACCCUCACUCUGGGAAUGGAAAUCAAUUCAUAAUUGUACCCAGACAAAUAAAUGGGGCACACACUUCAGAUCUAUUACAGGAUUUAGUCGGAAUCAGAAGAACAAAGGCAUGAAGUAGAAACACAUUCAUAUGCCAGGCACAGGUAGGGGCUGGGGAGGGUAGAAAGUCCAGGGUUCCUGGCCGGCGAAGAGGGGCUCUGCUCAGCAUCUCAUGCUGGAGUGCAAGAGUAUAAAAUAAGGUAACUAAGGACAUGAAGCUUGGCCGCCUGCACCAUUUGAAAAAAGAAAAAUCAAACUGUGUUUUAUGAGUUUUUCUGGCUGAGUGGGCUGAUGGUAAAAGUGAUUGCAUAAGUGAAUAAAUUGAAAUAUGUAUCCUGGUUGUGUCAAAAGCAAAAAUAAUUAUUUUGUUCUUGGUGAGAUAUAGUGUUUAACUGCCAACACAUCAACCCAAAUAAAAAGGAAAUCUGCCUUUAGAUCUAUUAAUACAUUUAUUAACAAAUGAUGUAUCUGAAUUAUCCAU